UACGAAGGGGGCUAGCGUUGUUCGGAUUUACUGGGCGUAAAGCGCACGUAGGCGGAUUGUUAAGUCGGGGGUGAAAUCCCGAGGCUCAACCUCGGAACUGCCUUCGAUACUGGUAAUCUUGAGUCCGGGAGAGGUGAGUGGAACUCCUAGUGUAGAGGUGAAAUUCGUAGAUAUUAGGAAGAACACCAGUGGCGAAGGCGGCUCACUGGCCCGGAACUGACGCUGAUGUGCGAAAGCGUGGGGAGCAAACAGG
rnacentral:rRNA from 1 species